rnacentral:rRNA from 1 species
GAUGAACGCUGGCGGCGUGCCUAAUACAUGCAAGUCGAGCGAACAGACGAGGAGCUUGCUCCUCUGACGUUAGCGGCGGACGGGUGAGUAACACGUGGAUAACCUACCUAUAAGACUGGGAUAACUUCGGGAAACCGGAGCUAAUACCGGAUAACAUGUUGAACCGCAUGGUUUAACAGUGAAAGACGGUCUUGCUGUCACUUAUAGAUGGAUCCGCGCCGCAUUAGCUAGUUGGUAAGGUAACGGCUUACCAAGGCAACGAUGCGUAGCCGACCUGAGAGGGUGAUCGGCCACACGGGAACUGAGUCACGGUCCAGACUCCUACGGGAGGCAGCAGUAGGGAAUCUUCCGCAAUGGGCGAAAGCCUGACGGAGCAACGCCGCGUGAGUGAAGAAGGUCUUCGGAUCGUAAAACUCUGUUAUUAGGGAAGAACAAAUGUGUAAGUAACUAUGCACGUCUUGACGGUACCUAAUCAGAAAGCCACGGCUAACUACGUG